rnacentral:rRNA from 1 species
CAGCAGCCGCGGGAAUACGUAGGUGGCAAGCGUUGUUCGGAAUUACUGGGCGUAAAGCGCACGUAGGCGGUUAUUCAAGUCAGGGGUGAAAGCCCGGGGCUCAACCCCGGAACUGCCUUUGAAACUAGAUGACUGGAAUCUUGGAGAGGUCAGUGGAAUUCCGAGUGUAGAGGUGAAAUUCGUAGAUAUUCGGAAGAACACCAGUGGCGAAGGCGACUGACUGGACAAGUAUUGACGCUGAGGUGCGAAAGCGUGGGGAGCAAACAGGAUUAGAUACCCGAGUAGUCCCUGUCUCUUAUAC